rnacentral:lncRNA from 1 species
AAGAUAUUAAAAAUGGGUGCAGAAUCCUCAUCUGUAAACUAUAUCGUUCCGUAUUUUGUGGUGUGUGAGUUUAUUUUGAUAUAUAAUAUGAUAUCGUUCGUACCAAUUUGCUAAAGCCACCCACAUGAUAGGUAAUUCUUAAUAGUUCCUCUUCGCCAGGUCUUGGAUCUAUCAAAUAAUAGCAAUCAUAAACAUUGUAGUGAUAGAUCUAACUGUGCAUUUGAUUGGACAACAGAAGAUGAAGUUAGAAAAGAUGUGAGAAUAUUUCAAAGGGUUUAAAAAGGAGUAGCCUGUACCACGAUCGUCCACUUGGCCUAAUCCU